rnacentral:lncRNA from 1 species
CGACCUGUAAAUCUAGAUCUAGACCAAUACCUAUUACAACGAAUAAUUAAUUGUUAGGAAGGUAAAAGUAUAUAAGAGGACGAUUAAGAAAUUGGUAGAAGGAAUACCUUGGGGGAAUAGCAAUGAGGUAUUUGUAAGCCUCUACAUUGACAUCUUUUAUAUUUAACAUUUCUCUUUCCCAAGCUUGGGGGUAGUAACUAGUAGCAGCCUUCCACAUCAGAGUCUCAUGCAAAAUCUAUGCUCUGUCCUAGGUAAAAGUUCAGUAAUAGUUUCUUUUAAACCCUGUUAAAAAAGGGACCAUGUUGAACAUUUUUAACGAAAAUGAGGACCAAAUUGAACAAACAGUAAUUAUAGAGAUACCUUUUGUUGGUCAGAC